rnacentral:rRNA from 1 species
CCUACGGGAGGCAGCAGUGAGGAAUAUUGCACAAUGGACGGAACCCUGAUGCAGCGACGCCGCGUGGAUGAAGAAGCGCCUCUGCGCGUAAGCCCUGUCAGCAGGGAGGAAAAUGGCGGUACCUGGAGAAGGAGCGCCAGCUAACUACGUGCCAGCAGCCGCGGUAAUACGGAGGGCGCAAGCGUUAUCCGGAUUUACUGGGUGUAAAGGGCGUGCAGCCGGGAAGACAAGUCAGAGGUGAAAUCCCGCGGCUCAACCGCGGAACUGCAUUUGAAACUGUUUGGCUUGAGUAUAGGAGAGGUAAUCGGAAUGUCUGGUGUAGCGGUGAAAUGCGUAGAGAUAAGGAAGAACACCAGUGGCGAAGGCGGAUGACUGGACGGCAACUGACGGUGAGGCGCGAAAGCGUGGGGAGCAAACAGGAUUAGAUACCCGUGUAGUC